GCGGCAGGCCUAACACAUGCAAGUCGAGCGGCNGCACGGGAAGCUUGCUUCCUGGUGGCGAGCGGCGGACGGGUGAGUAAUGCAUANGAAUCUGCCCGGUAGUGGGGGAUAACCUGGGGAAACCCAGGCUAAUACCGCAUACGUCCUACGGGAGAAAGCAGGGGCUCUUCGGACCUUGCGCUAUCGGAUGAGCCUAUGUCGGAUUAGCUAGUUGGUGAGGUAAAGGCUCACCCAAGGCGACGAUCCGUAGCUGGUCUGAGAGGAUGAUCAGCCACAUCGGGACUGAGACACGGCCCGAACUCCUACGGGAGGCAGCAGUGGGGAAUAUUGGACAAUGGGCGCAAGCCUGAUCCAGCCAUGCCGCGUGUGUGAAGAAGGCCCUCGGGUUGUAAAGCACUUUCAGUGGGGAAGAAAGCCUCGCGGCUAAUAUCCGCGAGGAAGGACAUCACCCACAGAAGAAGCACCGGCUAACUCCGUGCCAGCAGCCGCGGUAAUACGGAGGGUGCGAGCGUUAACCGGAAUUACUGGGCGUAAAGCGCGCGUAGGUGGCUUGAUAAGCCGGUUGUGAAAGCCCCGGGCUCAACCUGGGAACGGCAUCCGGAACUGUCAGGCUAGAGUGUCAGGAGAGGAAGGUAGAAUUCUCGGUGUAGCGGUGAAAUGCGUAGAGAUCGGGAGGAAUACCAGUGGCGAAGGCGGCCUUNUGGACUGACACUGACACUGAGGUGCGAAAGCGUGGGUAGCAAACAGGAUUAGAUACCCCUGGUAGUCCACGCCGUAAAAGAUGUCGGCUAGCCGUUGGGUCCUUCGCGGACUUUGUGGCGCAGUUAACGCGAUAAGUCGACCGCCUGGGGAGUACGGCCGCCAAGGUUAAAACUCAAAUGAAUUGACGGGGGCCCGCACGAGCGGUGGAGCAUGUGGUUUAAUUCGAUGCAACGCGAAGAACCUUACCUACACCUUGACAUCUUGCGAACCCUUCGGAGACGAAGGGGUGCCUUCGGGAACGCAGAGACAGGUGCUGCAUGGCUGUCGUCAGCUCGUGUUGUGAAAUGUUGGGUUAAGUCCCGUAACGAGCGCAACCCUUGUCCUUAUUUGCCAGCGAGUAAAGUCGGGAACUCUAAGGAGACUGCCGGUGACAAAACCGGAGGAAGGUGGGGACGACGUCAAGUCAUCAUGGCCCUUACGGGUAGGGCUACACACGUGCUACAAUGGUCAGUACAAAGGGUUGCGAACUCGCGAGAGCAAGCCAAUCCCAGAAAGCUGAUCUCAGUCCGGAUCGGAGUCUGCAACUCGACUCCGUGAAGUCGGAAUCGCUAGUAAUCGUGAAUCAGAAUGUCACGGUGAAUACGUUCCCGGGCCUUGUACACACCGCCCGUCACAACCAUGGGAGUGGACUGCACCAGAAGUGGUUAGCCUAACCUUCGGG
rnacentral:rRNA from 1 species